rnacentral:rRNA from 1 species
GACGAACGCUGGCGGCGUGCCUAAUACAUGCAAGUCGAACGCACUCUCGUUUAGAUUGAAGGAGCUUGCUCCUGAUUGAUAAACAUUUGAGUGAGUGGCGGACGGGUGAGUAACACGUGGGUAACCUGCCCUAAAGUGGGGGAUAACAUUUGGAAACAGAUGCUAAUACCGCAUAAAACCUAACACCGCAUGGUGUAGGGUUGAAAGAUGGUUUCGGCUAUCACUUUAGGAUGGACCCGCGGUGCAUUAGUUAGUUGGUGAGGUAAAGGCUCACCAAGACCGUGAUGCAUAGCCGACCUGAGAGGGUAAUCGGCCACACUGGGACUGAGACACGGCCCAGGCUCCUACGGGAGGCAGCAGUAGGGAAUCUUCCACAAUGGACGAAAGUCUGAUGGAGCAACGCCGCGUGAGUGAAGAAGGUUUUCGGAUCGUAAACUCUGUUGUUGGAGAAGAAUGUAUCUGAUAGUAACUGAUCAGGUAGUGACGGUAUCCAACCAGAAAGCCAC